CACAUCACCAUUGACAGAGAACCUUAUCAGUCCAUAGACAUAAACAGGGGCCUUCAUUCUCUGUGCUCUCCUGAUGCUUUCUUCACAUUCUGGAAACUGCCUUCAUAUUUAUUCAUCUGUCAUUCGCUCAUUUGUUCCUUCAUUGGCUUGUUUGCUCCUUCAUUGGCUCAUUAGUUUUCAUAGGCUCACUCAUUCAUUUCUGCUUCUUCAAAUACAAUUCAAGCUCUAGAAACAUCUCCUCCUGCCCUCAGAACCCAUUACAAAGUAUGUGUAAUGACGGAUGACCAGAUUGUCCUCUUCUUGGAGCUUAGUAAAUACAUCUGACCAUCUGUGCCUAUGCUGGUUUCAGGGAGGGUUAACUAAAGGAUGCCAUCCACAUGAAUGUGGAUAAGAACAACAUCACUUAGAUCACCUCGUGUAAUGGGGUUCAGGCUUUAGGGGGAGUUGAGCUUGAGAGCAAGCAUUCUCUCUCCACUUCUGAGCUGCCCCAUAGGAGCUCUCCUGCCUGUCACACCCUUCCUGCGAUGGUGUGCUAUAACCUCUGACAUCUGAGCACAAUUCAUUUCGUUUUUAGUGGCCUUGUCCAGUCUUUUGUCACAAUGGCAAAAACCUAACUAUGAUGAGGAUCAAAAAAUUUGCUGAAUCAGUCAAAGUGAUCGACUACUGUGCUGUCAUGGCACACUUCCUCAUGGUCUCGGAGAGAGGAAAGAUUUCAUAGCCUGGCCAAUGUGGUAGAGCAGGAGAAUUCUGAAGACCCCUGGACAAGAAUAAUGAGGGUCCAUGUUUUAGGGUUUAAUCUGGAUGUCCCUGAGCUGCUAUUGCUUGUCGGUUAAAUCAGAAUAAUAAAGGUAGCUAAGGUAGUGGGGUGAGUGUGGCCUUGCAGUGAAAUCUCAGAGUAGAUGCGUGUGCAAGCUUAUGGUAUCAGUGCAUGUUUCUUUUACACUUGUAUUUGCACAGACACAUUUGUGACAAAGACAGGAGGGAAUUUAUGUGCUAACCAGGAGACUGCAGUAAAAGUCUAGCCUAGAGUACCAGCUAGCAGGGGGCAGAAGGCAGAGGUGCACAUGGGCAUAUGAUCUGAGUCCAGCCUAGACAACAUGCUGAAACCUCAUCUUACAACAAAUAACAGAAAAGAGUAAGUUCAGUGAGAUAGCAUUCAGUUAACUUCCAAUCCUAAGAUGUUCACAUUGUUUACAUGGACAGGAUUCUGGUAGCAAGAAAAUUAGGACAAACCGGUUUAUGAUGUAGCAUUAUGAUGUAGAUAUUAUAAGCAUAGUUUUUCAUUUCUUCUGUAGUGCAAAUUCAUCAUGACCCAAUAUAAAAUAAUUUUAUACAUCAAUAAUUAAAAUUCAGCAGUUGGUUUUAUAAGAACACCGUAUUUGAGUUAGACCCACUUAACUGCACUUAGACCAAGAAAAGCACAAACUAAGCACCAAGUACUUGUAGGUAAUAACUGCCAAUAUAAUUGAUUAUCUUGGUUUUGCUCUGCAUAUCUGUUGACUAGGCAAUGAAUAAUCAUCUCGGUCACUGUUAACGGUAACCGUCUCAUGGGAUCAGUUUUGUUGUUAGCCGCUCAUCAAAUCCGGACGUGCCCACGGCUCUCAUGGUCAGCUGAGACUACCCACUCAUUAUAUCAGGAGCAGACAGUUAUUAUCGAAUCAAUACAACCCAAGUCUCCUUUUCACUCACCACAGAAGAGCCAGAAGAGGAUGCCCGACAUGGUUACUACCAUACCAGGUGUGCUGGGAAUUGAACCCGGAGCCUCUGGAAGGUCAGCCAGUGAUAUUGACCUCUGAACCAUCUCUCCAGCCACCCACAGAACUUCAAUGGACUCUUUCCUCCUAAAACCCCCUUGUUACAGGACACUCUCUGGACAGGUCCAUGAAAAGUUUGAAUAAAAGAUACAGUGAUUCCCUGUUGGCAGGAGCCCUACAUGCUGAUAGGCGUGACUAGUUUAGCAUUGCACCCACUGUAAAGACAAAAACAACCCAGGAACAAUAACAUUGAGAAGAGUGAGAGUGGAUGGACAGGGUCAAGCAGAGAGAGGGCCCAACGGCCAACAUGGUUUUGAGCAUCUUCAGCAGCAAUACCCACCCAGAAAAGCCACAGGAAUGGAUGUAUUUCCUCCAAUUAAUCUCUUAAUUCCCAAGAAGAUUAGAACCUGUGGAUUGCUUCCAGACAAAUAUGGUAUGAUGGAACAAGACCCCUGAAAGGUUGAUAUGAACACCCCCACAAAGAAAAUACUUCACCCAAUAAACAGCAGGAAGCAGUUUGGAGAAAAAUAACUAUGCUCAUAUUCCCAAAUAUUGUCUAUAAAAGUUUAUUUACAUGUAAAGGGAGGAUAUGAUAUAGAUAUGAACAAUUUGCAUUGGUAUGGAUAUUGGUUACUUAAUACGAAUUUAAGAUAAAUUUUUUAUACUGUAUACGUGUAUUUCUGUUCUUGAUUAAGGUAUUGUGAUUGAGUAGUUCAUUUAAAAAAUAAUUAAGAAAUAUAGGUUAAUAGAUAAUCAACUAUAAUAGUCAAGCUUGUAGUCAUGUUAGUUAGAUUUUCUAGAUGUAUAGAGAUAUAUUUCAGAUGGAUAGACAUUCUUCAGGCCUUUCAAAAACUACAGAAUAUGGCAUUGAAAAUGUUUUCAAGAACUUAAGAUUACAAAAGGAUGAUGGUAUUAAAGAGGCUUCUUAUGGAGUUGCUUAGUCAUUUGGGCAAGAUACUGCUCUUGCCUAAACUGCUUCACUGGGCAUGCAAGACCCACAGAGAAAUGACUACUAAACUUGCCUAAAGGUGAGAUAAUCCUCCAGGGUCCCUGCAUCAUGAAAGAGAAUGUGAGCCUUUCCCACAGAAUACAGAAGAAAGUGACUAAACUGUCUUUGAAAUUUCCUGCUUCAUGGAAAAGUGUGCUGGAAACUAUGGGCCUAUAGGCUGAAGAUUGACGCCCCAAUGGUACAGAAGAACUUUGGGUUACUGUCCAGGUAGUGAGAUGUCUCUGUCAUUUCUAGAGUUUUGGAAGUUGCUUGCAAUGCACUUCCUGUUUACUUAGGUACUAUAUCCUUCUGGAGUUUUUGAUGGAGUUGAAGAAUAGAUAGAUAGUUAUAGUUUUCCUUAGUUAUGAUAAAAGAUAAAGUAAAUAACAAUAUUGUAACUGUAAUUCUUGCUUGAUACCUAUUUUGUUAUAUGUAAUUUUACUAUGUAAAAGUUAAAACCUUCCUUUUUAUUUAAACAAAAAAGGGGAGGUGACUUAGGAGCCCCCUCUGUGUGCUGUGAUUACCAUUAAUGAAUAAAGGAACUGACUUGGCCUGUUGAUGAGGAGAACUUAGGUAGGUGAGGAGGACUGGACUGAAUGCUAGGAGAAAGAAGGGUAGAGUCAGAGGAUGCCAUGAAGCUAUAGACUAAGAUAGACAUGCUGAAACUUUGCUUGUAGGCCAUGACCUCAUGGUGAUACACAGAUUAAUAGAAAUGGGUUAAACUAAAAUGUAAGAGUUAGCCAAGAAGAAGCUAGAACUAAUGGGCCAAGCAGUGAUUUAAAUAAUACAGUUUCUGUGUGAUUAUUUCAAGUCAAAGCUAUCUGGGUGGCCAGGAAUGAGCAAGCAUCAGCUCCUUGCAAUGUAAUCACAUUUAGAUUAAUGCAGAAAAUGUAACUCUUUUUAAUUUAUAAUUUUAUUAUUUUUCUUUGAGACAGGGUUUCUCUGUAGCUUUGAGCCUAUCCUGGAACUAGCUCUUGUAGACUAGGCUGGCCUCAAACUCACAGAGAUCCACCUGUCUUGGCCUCCCAAGUGCUGGGAUUAAA